rnacentral:piRNA from 1 species
UAGAAAGUCAGAGUCUUGCUGGGCGU